CGGAGGCCAGCCACGAUACCGACGUCGUCGUGACGCCCGCGCUUCACUCACCUCGCCUCAAACUCAACGGUCUUCGUUCCUAUCGGCCCCUACGGCACUCCUCCGCUUGAAACGGUCGCCGCCCACCCUACUUUGCUCUCCCCCCUUAGCUGUUCACUCCCUCCCCUUUUAUUUCAUGCUACGCGUUUCUCUGUCCCCCUUCCUCUCCCUUUUCCUCCCCUUAUUCCUCUCCUUUCGUCUUUCACAUCGUUACCCUUCUCACUCUACUCGUUUCGUCGAGGCUAGCUGUCUCUUUCCUCUUCGAGAUCUCCUUCGUAGGCAUCACUCUCUCCACUGUCACCCACGUUGCACGAUACGCUACAUAGUACACAUACGAUACACUCAUACGCGACUAACAUGCACAGUCAAUCGCUGUAAGCUCGUCGAUGACACGGAUAAUCGCGUAGGAAGACUCCCGACAAGGUUGAAAACCGUCAAGCAAGGACGUUGAUAGAUAUAUAUACAUAUGCAUAGGUUAUAGGUAUCUAUGUGUCUAUGCAUACUAUAACCUUAAAUCGUCUACUGCACGGUUCCCCUGAAAGCAGCCACAGAAAUUAACGCAACCGAAAUGAUUGACACAGCUGAGUCAGCGAUUCGUCACGACACUCAAACUAUCACGAUGGAAGAGGGAAGUAACGAAACACUUGUAUAAUAAUUCAUUGUAUCCAGUAGACAAGAUGGCAACGAAAAGUCGUUGCUGUUAUUAGAGAAGCAUAUACACGGUUCGUUAAAGCUGCACGAAAAUUUACUAUAAUUGCAAUCUAAGAAACGCCGAUUGUUAUGGCAUAAGUUAAUGGGCUACGAUGAUAAAUGACCGCGAAACUUAAAGUUAUAUUGCUAGGGCGACGGAGGAAGUUGAGAAGCUACCUGUUGAUUUGAAUUUGCUUCUUGAUAUUUAUGCAUUACAGGGAAAUAUUGCACGAGAAUGUCUGGUGAAGCGAUAACAUAACUCUGAACAUAUUAAUGCAAUUGCAUGCGUUUGAGAUAUAAGAAAGAUCAUGCAGAUAUGUAAUUAUAUGUAAUUAAACAAUAAACUGAUUAGACAAACCUA